ACUUAUAAACUUUAUACUAUGGUUUAGGAGCAGCUUCUUAAUGAGACACUGAAACUACGACGAAACGGCAACCACUUCUCACGCGUCCUCCUUUCUUUUUUUUUUGUAAUACUCCUAGUACAUAGAGUAAAGAAUGUAAGCCAAUUUAUAUAAAUAGAAAGCAAAAGGGAAAAUGCUAGAAGACACAGAAACCAAACAACACCAACAAAAAAUGGCUUUCAGAAGAACAUCUUUGGUUUUGUAUACUCUCUUCAUCUUUUAUCUUCAACACAAUUUGCUUUCCGUGAGCUCACGACCUCACUCAGCUGAUACGAACCACGAGACUCUUCCUUUUUAUCCCUCAGAGACG
rnacentral:lncRNA from 1 species